rnacentral:lncRNA from 1 species
CUGGGCUGAUAUAAAGAAAAACAACACUAGAUUUAGACUUAAAUCAGAUAAAGCCAGCAUUUUGAAAAACAAGAAAAGGUUAGGAGACAGUUCAGUUGACUAUCUAGCUCUUUCAGUUAGACUGAGAUAUAACUACAAAUUGUUUAUGGCUUUUGUUUCAGAAUAGCGUGUGAUUGCUUGUGUCCCAGCCUUAUGUUUUUAAUUUUCACUGGUUGUGUUUUAAUUUGUAGUAGGUAGUGCGGAACAGCUACACUAAGAUUGAAUUGCUGUACUAGUCUGGCAAGCAUGUGAAGUAUACUUCAUGUAAUACUCACUAAGGUACUAUGUGGAAUUGCCAGCACCUACCUUAAAAAGGUUCGACUUAGAUGUGCAAUUUUUACACACUUUAUGCUUCUUCUAUGGCGGUCCAUGUAAAUAUAUAUGGACUUUGAUAGCACUUUAAAAAGAACAAAACAAAAAACAAGCAAACCACGUGGACCUGUCCUAUCUUCUGCCAUUUUUAACGAAUACUUUAUUUAGCAGUUGUCCUGGGAAAUGGGGCAGGAACCAUCAUGUGGAGCUUGUGUCUCCACACUAGACUUUGAUUUCAAGCCGUUGCCUUGGCUAGAAGGAAAACAAUGAAAGGGUAGCCCUCCUUCAUGGUGACCAAAGUCUCCCUUUGUGGGAAGGAAUUGGUGUGGUCUGCCUUCCACGAGAACGUACCGUGAAUAAAACCGAGCCGUGUUGCCAUACUGCAUACUAUUUUCAAGGAAGUUAAGCACUUCUCACAUUUUGUCUUUGAAAAUUCCUGAGUUGGAUGUGGUCAAAUGCUGGUAGUGUCUUUAAGGUUUGAUUAUGCUGCCUUUUCAAGGAAAUAACUAUUUAAAAGAGAUAGUGUAAAACUAAGCCUUUCUGCCUCAAUUCAGAAAUGAUUAGCUAAAAUAUGUCCCCGUUUUCAAUUUUAGUUAAUAGUCUAUGUGAGAACCAUCACACAUCUGUCAUUAUGCAAUGAUUGUUAAAUUAUACGACAAUAGCUCUAGAAAAACAUAUGCUCCGUGCUUGUAUACAAAGACACUGUUAUACACACUUGGUUAAUAUUUUGUCAGUUGUAUUUACAACACAUACUUUCUUAAGAGAAUAUGUUGUUAAUUUUUGAUAUUAUUUUAGAGUCAAAAUUGUAAAGAUGACUGAAUAUUGUAUUUUAGUCUAGAUUAAUUAACUACUUAAAGAGAUUUUUGAGUUUCAAGAAGAUUAUAAAUGAAGGUUAGCAAGACAACAAUGUAUUUUCUGAGUCUCCAAGAGAAGUGAAACAUGUUAUAGUUUUGUAGCUGCUGCCUUGUUAAGCAAAUGAUUAUUAUGAGUCACAAUAUUCAAAAUAUUUUGUUGUGUCAAACUGGACCAGUGCACUAACGCCUUUUACAUUAAAUGUUAUAAGAUGACGUGUCUUUAUAAAGCUAAGUAUUAAAAAUCUAUUAUGUUAAAUAUGAACUGUUUAUUAAAAAGCCAAA